GUCUCUCUCUCUCUCUAACGCUUGCUCUCCCUUCUCUCUAGAACCUUCUGGUUCUUUCCUUCUUCUCCGACGAGCUUCAUCGUCUCUCCGACCAUAUUUCGUCCUCACUUCUCUCGACCUUUAGUCACCAUGGAAUCCUAUAUCGGCUUCUCUCUAAGGUUUGAAGCCCCAGAAGCUUCCACAAUGAAAAAUGGUCACUGAAGCCUCGUCGGGGUCCAUUUCCGGCCUUUCUCUGAUGUGUUUGGUCUGAUGGUGCUUUAACUCCAUUAACCUUGAGUUUCACAGCCAGGUUUCUCUUACUUCUCUCAUUGGUUUCUUAUGAAACCCUAAUCUUGACCCAAACCUCUCAAAUUUGUGAUUUUUAACGAUUUUAACUCAUACCUUUAUGUUUUGUACUAUUUUCUACUCGAUCUUUACGUUUACUCUAGUUUUAAACGUUUUUGUUCCCUUAUUUAAACUAGGUUUUCUAAACCCCUUUUUGAAAUUACUUUACUUUCUGAUUUUGAGUACUAAUUCGUGAUUCUUCUAAAUAUUUUGCUUAAGUAUGAUUAAACCCUAGCCUUAUAUGUAUAUGUUUGGAUUAUUUACUUGAUUGUGUGUUCUUAUGGGUUCUUCUCUAAGUUCCGUGUUCUUUGCUUUAAUUUUAGUUACUAGUGUUUUUCUGCGUAUUGUCCUUAUAGUUUGGGAUAAAUUUCAAAUUUCUUCCUCAAUCCGUCUGAUACUUUCAUCAAUUAAUACUGGUCUCCUAAGUUUUCAAUCUCAUUCCUUAUGUUUGGGGAUUAUUGUCCAGAAUUGGAGCAGUAUCUCGCCCUAUAUGUGUGCAUGCGUAUGUUCAUUGAUUUUCCUGACAUAUUUCCAUAAUUAGAAUAUCAUGAACCUAGUCUUUAUUGCAUACUUUAUGCUUUCUGUUCCUUAUGUGAUCGUACCUUGUGAUUUCUUUCCUUUUAAAUAGCUGCUUAUUACCGUUUGACUUUGAUUCCUUAAUUAAAGGGGAGUCCAUAUCCUAAUUUGAUUAUGAUAGAUGUCAGUUCUUUAAUUAGGGAUUGCUACCUUGUUUGUUUACUCGUAUUCAGUAAAAUAAGUACCCUCCCCCAUUCUCUUUUGCAUAAAACCAACACAUUGCAUAUCACUUGACACACAGAGACACGAAUAAACUCAGUGUUAUGAACUCUCUCUCUUUCAAACAAACAUUUUUGGUGCGCUUUGUUGUUUCUACACAACUUCUUUCACUUUCCUGUUGAAUGCUGAUCACUCAAUUGGCUGCAAUCCAAGAUUGAGUGUUCCUGGUGACUUUUACCACCCUGCUCACCUCUACUGUGUUACUUCUUUGGGUCUGCCUGCUGCUCGCUUCUUUCAUACUUCUGCCCUGCUCUCUGCUUCUCUGCACACUAUUGCUCACUUCUCGGCACGAUAUUUCUCACUAUUUCUCUGUGUUACCAAUUUUUUCAACUGGUAUGUAUCUUGUUUAAGUUACAACCUCAAAAACAAUAUGCUUCAAUUGGUGCUGCACUUUCUUUUGUUCCUUGUGUGCUUCUAUUUGUGGUUCUGUUGUUCCUAUUGAAACUAGCAUGUAUCUGUACUAAUUAGUAAGCCCAACAUGUUCACCCCUUUCCUACCCCUAAUGCAUGUUUCCCCUUUGCUUCUGUAUUCUACUAGCAUCCUCUGGGCUACUCCAUAGCCCUAAAACACCUUCCUGAGGAUGAUUUGGUUGGGUGUCUGGUGCUGUAAGAGUUGGACUCCUGUUUGAAGCAUGAACUCUCCUUUAAUGUGUGUGACUGAUUGUCUUGUUUCUGAGCUGUUUCUUCCCAUUAUAAUGUUCACUUAAUGUCCAUUUAAAGAUAAAGUUUACUCCCCAUUUUCCCUUU
rnacentral:lncRNA from 1 species